AGAGCUUCUGUGAUUCAGAUAUGAGCAGGACCAUUGCAGCAGAGAGACUGGGAAGAGUGAGGAUCUCCUGGUUUCUAUUAAUCAGACUUACAAAUUAUAUUAAUAUGAAGAGAAGGCCUUUCAGUAGUAGAAGGAAGCUUAUGAACAGGAGGGAAGCCAACCUUAUUUACAGUCUGAUCAGAAGAAGAGCAUUGUGUCCUGAAGAGCAAUUUGAAAUGCAUAAAGAUUUUAUCAGUAAUGUGCACACAGCUCUGUCAUUGCUGCUGGAAGGAGAUCAGUAGGUGGAAGGGGUACAGGGAUCACCGUUACUGACAAGUGGGAAGAACUUUGGAGAUUUGCUUUUCUCCUGAUCUGCAUGUAAUGUUUAUGCUUCUGUUAGAAAUAUGAGAAGUACAGAUGAAGACUGAUGCUGAUGAAUGGAGCUAACUACCUGCUGCCAGUUUCACAGUAGUGUCUUCUUGCUAGAGAAUAUAGGAUAGCUGAUACUGUCACAGGAAAAAGUAAGCAAGGAGGUCAUGUUUUUUUGUAAUCCUACGCAAUUACAUGCUUUGUUUUUUUCAGGACUAACUUCUUACCUCUCGUCACAGCACUCAUGAUUAUUAUGGCCUUUAGAAAUUUACUUCUGGCAGGAGGACUUCGGAUUUGCAUGUCGUCAUAUAUUAAAAUUUUUCAGUAGUAAUCUUGUAUGUGCUUAUGACAUGCAUGAAUGAGCAAAAACAUUUGACUUGCAAUUGUUAUCCUUAAAUAAUUAUUUAGGGACAAAUAAGUGGCACAUCUUAUGUAAAGCAAAGAAUUUACAUUUAGUAUAAUUGAGAGUUUAAUCAUUAUCAUUCCAGAUCUAAUUAUUGCAAUGAUGAUAAUGAUAGUGAUGAUAAUGAUGACAAUAGUGAUGAUGAUGGUAAUGCAGUUAUUAUACACUCACUUUUUCAUUUCCUAUCUCUUUUGCUGGUGUUAUGCUCACUUUUCCUCAGUGCCUCUUGUUCUUAAGGCUGGUAGUUUUGUCCUGCUCAUGGUGGGGUGCUAUUUCUUCACUGGUAGGAAUAGGUUGUUCAUGUCUUAAUGUUUAUUUUUUUUAUUUCUUCCUUUAGGGUUCACCUGUGGUAAGUUUUCUAUGGUUACUUACAGGCUUUUUCAACUUUGUUCUUUCUUUAUCGGUCUGAAAAUGUGAUGUCUGACUUUAUUAUGGUGUCCACCGCAAAAUUCUUUGUUCUCUUAUCCCUAAAAUAAGGUUUGGGUUUUUUUUUUUUUUUUUUCUCCUUAUUCAGCUGUUUGUUUGUUUUCUGGGUCCAGUCAUUUAUUUAACUCGAUGAGUUAACAUUGAUGAAUUGUUCAUACCCAUUGAGUACCAGUGCCAGUCCUCUGGCCAGUCUUCUACCCCACUUCCUCUUCACCCAAUGCCUCUAUAGCAUGUACCAUGCCUCUACUCUUUCUAGCCUCUCCUAUUUUGCUAGAUCUUUAAUUCUGUACACAAUAUUAUUAUGCUAGAGUUGUAGAUAUCUAAUUCUACACAAAAUAUUGGCUUGUUACUGAUGUCUGUGCAACACUGUGGGUGUAUCUUAUGAAGAAAGCAAAAUUGCUCUCACCACUAAACCAAGUGAAACAAAGAAUUUUGGGCGGGAAAUCUAUCAUUGUUCAGUCCUGAAGAUUUUAAAUAGAACAUACAUGGACUGUUAUCAGCAAUGGCAAUAUUAUAUUACAAGGAUACACAGUUUCAAAAUGCCUGGAUUAUUGCAAUAAAGAAGCCUAUGAAAAUUGUUUCUUUUUCACCUCAAGGUAUGUCAGCAUUAACACCUCAGCCUUGAAGCUAGUUAUCUCCUGCAAUCCAGGAUUCUGGGGAGCAAGUAUCCCUACUGCAAGAUUUGUUGCCAAUGUUCUCUUGAAACAAUAAAAAAAUUCUCAUUUUUGAAACAAAUAAAAAAAUUCUUUUUUCAGAAAGACUAAUUUUUUUGGUUUUCUCUCUUUUCAUCUGCUCAGAACAAUAUUCAAAUUUACUACUUUGUUUAGGAAACUUUUUUAUUUUUACAAACUGUGGCCAGUGGGUUUUCUAUUUAUAGGAAUACAGCAAGCAAUGGUGCAUCAAAGGUCAUAGAUCUGCUCUUAAAAAAUGACAGUCUUUAAUGUCCGUAUAGUUUCCUACUUAUUUCGCACUGAAUCCUGCAGCAUCUUUUUUCUUAUUCAAUGAUUUUGAUACAACCUAGCUUAGAAUCCAAUUCUGUUUUGCAGAUGGACAAUGAAAAUUCAUCCUUUUUUCCUUCUCACCAAAUGAAAACUAUUUGGACAUCUAGUUCAAUUUCUAGAGCAGAAAGAAAUGUUUGUGAAGUGGCAGGAAUGAUUUAUGGAAGUCUAUUUUUACAGCUGGACUAUUCAUGCUUGAAUACGUUAUGUGUAGGAGUGGGCCUGCUGUGUCUGUGUUCUGUCAACGAAGAGCCUUGUUUCAAGAAUUCUCCACAAUGUUUGUAAAUGCAUAAGGCUUUUUUUCCUCAUAAUAAAUUAAAAGAACAAGAGUAUGCAUUUAUAUUUCUUGGUCACUUGCUCAUUUAAUUCCUAAGUGUACCUGAAAUGUGUUAUAUGGAUUUUUUACACUAUUCUUUGGGCAAUUCUGCACCACUGCUUGCCAGAGACUCUCUAUGAUAUUAAUACCUGCUUCAACAGGACUCAGCAAGUUAUACUCCACAUACAUAUGGCAUGACUGGGAGGAACUGGUGUGCAGAAGUAAGAAUGAACUACAAAAUAAUAUCUUAAUCUCAUACCCCAGGUGUAUGCUUUGAGGGAACUUUCAAACUGUUCAUCACUGUAAGUUCAAAGACUCAGUUUGUGCUUCUCAGCUUAUUUCAUCAGACCCUAUUAGAUGGUGGAAAGGAAAAAUAAAAAGCUGACAUGAAAGUAGCUUCAAGUUGCAUCUGCCACAUUAAAGAGAUUCUGUCAAAAUAGCAGUAAAACAGCAUUCAUCAGGAGAUAUGCUGGAUUUAUCCCGAUAAGGAUAACUUUCCUCUGCUUGUGGACAGGAUGACUAGCAAGGCACGCACACACAGAGGCAGUGAGAAUUAAUUAGUGCCAAGCCUCCAAGUAAACAGAAUUCUGCAAGAUUAGAUCUCAGAUUGGAACAGCUAGAGAUAUUUCUUGGUUGUGUGUUAAGCCAAGCAAACUGAGAUUUUGAAGCUCAGUACACAGGAUUUCUCAUUUGUUUAUAUUUCUUUUAAAAAAUGUUUUGGUACACACACAAAAAAAAUCUUCUUGUAAGGAUCAUUGGGGUUUUCGAAGUGCAACUGUAUUUAGCUUCAUUUCUUUGUCCUUUGAGAUACUUCCUAAAGUAUGCUGAUCUAUGAUAGAAGCUAAAUUAGUCCUGCAAAAAAAAUCUUUUAUGCCAUUCAUGUAUGUUAAAAGGAACCCCUUUUAUGCUUGUUUCUGUAACACUUUCUUGACACUGCUGAAUGGAACUAGUUACCCCCCAAAAAACAGUGUUUUAAAAGUUCCUUCCCUUUUUGUCAGUCUCUGGACAAAUUAUCUGAUUCUCUAAUGUAUAGGAGCAAGACCUGCUAAUAAGAAAGUCAAUGCAGCAUUUCUUGAUUGAUCAAAGUAUCCUGUGAAAUUUCAGUCCUGGCAAAACUGGACUAAGCUAAUUUAAGUAACUUACAAUCAACUGCAGUUUUCGCAACAAGAAGGGCUCCUUGUUAUUCCUAGCAUGGUACUGCUAAUACUUAAACUGAUUAUUUAUGUAUGAAAUGCUAAGAAUCCACAUUUUAGGGUUGCUGCCUUUAAAAUCUUUGAGCUCUAAAGACUUUCUUGGGAAUUGAACCAUGUUUCCAGUCUGCUGAUUUGCACAGAGGAAAGAUAGGAGCUUUGGAGUGUUUAAUGGAAUUGAGUUUCAAAAAUGGCAUUAAGUUUGUAUCACUAAACUUUUUAUUACCUGAAUCAGAAAUUAAAAACCAACAGUAAACAGGAGUACUGAUUUUUUUUACCUGAUUUUUAGGGAAAAUUGAAAAAAAAAAAAAACUUAGCUUUCACAGUGUUGCUUACAAGUUGUCCUGUACUUGCCCACAGGUCACUGUGAACCAUCUAACUUCAUCUUAAAACCUGACUAGUGCCUCAGAGCUGAACAAAAUUGGCUUUGCCAAGAAGCCUACAUGUCAUCUGGUCAAAGUCCAGUCAUAUUACACCUGGAAAUGUUUGACAUCUGCCUGUAUGUCUCCUAGUCAUGGCAGAAGCGUAUCAGUCUCAAAAUAAAAUCUACUAUACAUCACUGAUAAUUUGCAAAGUGCCUACAAGUGAAGCAGCAGGACAGGACUACAUAAGAGUUUCACUGUUUCACUACCUCAUUGAGGUAGACAUCAGUCCAAGUGGGCCAAGUGGAUUUGAGCUUUGAACAGAAGUACUUCACAUCUCAAGAAACAGUUGACGAUUGAUUCUGCAGUGCAGCAAACUGCUUGUGAAAAUGGUUUGAAAGGAUUUUUGCUCUUGUGUGAUGAGCCGAGGAAGUUUCCAGCCACUAGAGGAAUGGUGCUUGGAAAAUUUUUCUAAGAAGAUGAGUGGACUAAAAAGUUUAUCUUUUUUUGAGUUCUAUCCUUACACAAUAACAAUAAAAUUCAACUAUGUAGGUCACUCCAAAAAUAAUGCUUCCUAUAUUUUUGUGUGGAAACUACAAGAAAGAGUGGAAGAACACUAUUUUAUAGAGCAAGUUCUCAGCACAAAACAUGAUUUUUUCAACAUAGUUACGACCAUUAGCUAUGGUUUUUCACCAGCAAUGAACAAAACCCUGCAUACUAUACAGUUAAAAAUCUGCAGCAGUGCAAGUGACCCACUGCGUCACUGUGCUCACCUCCACUGUUUGGUUUCCAUAAACACUCAACAAGGGUCAGUAAAUGUUCAUGAGUGCCUUUUUUUUCCAUAUGGAGGAAUUAAACAACACACCUUUGCUUCAUAUAUACUUUCAUGUCAGACGCUGUUUUGUCAGACUGCCUCUCUGAUGGCACCUGUUACAUGGCAACAACAUGUGAUGGAAUACUGGUGGGAAAGUUCAAACUCUACUGCCAUGCCACCAACAUCUGCUUCUGACAUCAUGAGCCAACAUAAUAAAAUAGGAAGCAUUACUUUCUGAGCAGCCCUUGUAUAUUUCAAUAAAAACACUGUUUGAAACAUACUUUAUUUUGCAUAUCUGAUUUUGAAAAGUACUGUCUAUUCUAAUCACAAAGCAUACAAUGUCACCUUAGCCAUGUUAUUUAGUAUUUGUUUUUUGUUUGUUUGUUGUUUGAAAAUAGCAACACUGCUCUGUCUAUCAUCUGUUUUCUGAUAUGCUCAGAAGCAUAUUAGAAGUCUGCGGGCUUUAAUGACUGAUUUGUAAUAGUUUUGAUAUCAAAUUUUACUAAAUAACAAUUUGAAAUGAUUUGAAAUUUUGAAAAUAUUUGAAACUUCAUAGAGCUGUGUUUUGCACAUAGCUCAGCAGAAUUCUAUGGCUGUGAUGACCUGAUUCUCCCAGGUGUUUCAUGCUGCAGGGCAUUUUGGCAGGAUGGCUGCAUUUCACAUGGUUAAUUACCAUGAGCACAAUGGUAAGAUGCUGUUCCUCUUGAUGAAUAAAAUGUGGGCUCCCCAACAGCUAUUGUAACCGUGAUAAACAGGACAUGAUGCCCCUGAUAACUGGGGUAGGCAGGAGUGCCCGACAACCAUCUGCUACCAUGCUGUGGAGAGGAUAAAAACCCAAAGAAUUCUGAGGAAGAGCGGGUAACCCCUCCACUGAACUGCAGCCAUACUGGUCAACAAGGCAUCACUGCCUCCCUACAAAUCAACAAUUGUUGGAUCCAUGGUGGUGACUAUCCCUGCUCUGUAAACUGUUUGCUAGAAUUUUUCUCUUUACUAUCACUAAUUUCCCCACUUUCCCCACACCCCUGAGUUACUUAGAACUUGUAAUAAAUCAAUUGGACCUUUUUGCUGCCUUCAUCUUCCUGUGGGUAUAUGUACAUAUAUAGAUAUAUAUUGAACCAUCUCCUCCAAUAUUAGAGAAAGAUACCCAUAUUAACAUUUAGAGACUGAAAAAAGACCAAGCUGCUUUGAUUUCUUGCAUUAUCUUAAUUUUCACCAAAAUGGCUCACUUUCUUACAGAAACACCCAUUUCAACAAGGAGCAGAAGAAUUCAACUUCACUUUGGCUGUAGAUUGAAUUAUCUUAAAAGAUGGAGUGUUUUUUGCACAGACACAUCUGGGAUGAUGCUUCAUUUCUCUAGCUGUUUUUAUAUUACCAGUCUUUAAGAAAAGAAGACCCAACACAAUACAGAAUAUAUGAAAAUGAAUAGGCCCAUACAUUAUAAGAUAAAUAAACACUCUUCACUAAAGACCACAGCUGUUCUCAACUUAGAGCUAAAUCAGAGUAUCAAAUAAUAAGCAUUUUGCCUCAAAUCCAAUAUGGCAAAUAUUCUCUGCAACUCAGAGCAAUGUUAUUUGUCUUCUGCAUCGUUUCUGUCUAGCACUGACCUUCCUAGCAGAGAAACAUUGUAUUUCAGCAGCAGCUGUAGAAGUAUACAACUAUACCUAUGCCUAAUAAAGAUAGCAAAGUUCCAGUUUUCAUCCGUGCCUCACUUCUCAGUGUGCAAACUUCUCAGUGUACUUAGUGCUGCUGUGCCUCAUAGCAAGGCUGAAAUAGAAAACCAACUUUUUGUCAAAAUAAUCAAUACUUAAAGAACAAUGAGAAAACAAUAGCAACAAGAUCACUGACGCAGCGUUCAUGUUUUUGGUAAAUGCAUUUACCGAUAUCAUUUGAAUUUACCAGUCAAAUAUCAGUACUUUACUUGGCAAUUUGAAUGUUUUCAUAUACUAGCUUUUAAUCCAUACUGAUUAGCCAACCAGAUUUAAAAUUUCCUAAUUAAAUGAGAAGGGAAUGAUUUAGAUAGAAUUCUGAAAGCUGUUAAUAGUAGCUAGGAACUUGCAGAUAGGCACUGGGGUUGUCUGUGAGAGCUCAGAUACAGGACACUGAGUUGAAUGACCGUGUGCAGAACUUAACAGAACUUAGCUGGUACCACAGUUUAUCACACAUUCCUCUUUGUUCCUGUUAACAGUUUUAUAAUUUUUAUUAUUUGUAUUCCACAUCAUAACAGCAUGUAGUGCACUGUGAGCUAAAGGGUUAUUGCUCCGGUUUCAUGGAUUGUCAGUAUUUCCAGGGACAUGAUUCUCAGAAGAGAAGAACUACAUAUCCCAGAAGACUUCACUGCUCCAUUUCCAUUUCCAUUUAGAGGGAAAGACAGAACUGCUCAUAAGUCACAAAUGUUUUUUGGCCCAUCUCCCUUCCUUUCCCCUUUUUCCCUCUUCCCUGUUUCGCAGGGCAUGGGUCUAUGUGUCACGCUGCCCCAUAAGUCACAGAACUGGGCUGAACCAGCUCAUAAACCUUUGACAUUUAUUGGUGCACUGGCUGGAAAAAAUGCUUUUAGAAUUAACCAGAACCUCUCUGUACUCUCAGAUAGCUUCAGGGGAAAACUUAUCAGUGCUGCAGGACUUAUAGUGAAAACAAGACCUUAAUGUCCAAAUAGACCGCCAAUACUAUGGGAUAAUUUUAAACUUUGAGAGUGCUGCGCAAUUUUUUUUUUGUUUUUGUUUUUGGUACUAUGCCAACUUUCUUCUGUAAAGAGAAAGAACUAUAUUUGCUUUCUCUUGUAAAACUGUCUUGCAUGAGAUUGCAUUCCAUCAUUUUUCCUCUUUUAAUACUCAGAAUGUAGUGGGCAUUUAUUAAGUACCCCACUCUGAUUUAUGGAGCUAUAUGUACAAAUAAUAAAUUAAAAAUGCUGAUGCAAAUACCAGCAUGGUGUCUGCAUUCAAUCAGGCAUGAACUGGACAUUAAAAGGUAUGUACCAAAGGGAGUUGCUAAUUUUACAGAACGUGUGAUUUUUAAUCAGUCUUCCAGACUCUCCUUUGAAUCUAUUUUGCAUUUUUUGAAUGCUCACCUGAUGAUCAUGUUGUCAAGUCUCCCUGAGUGUACUCUUCGUCAUCUCGUAGGAUAUAAAGAACAUCCUCUGCACUGCUGCAGGAGAGAGGCCCCACUUGGAAUCUGUGGCAGAGAGCUUCAGGAGGGACCUGAGGCCAAGCCCUGGGAUUCUGCAGUCGAUCUUACAGGAGGUCCAUAGAGUACUACACUACAACUUAGAAGGAGAUAUUAGCUGUGUAUGAGGGGGUUCUGAAGUAACCAGUUUCUGAACUGGUUCUGAAGUAACCAGUUCUGAAAUGCAUCUCCUGUUAGCACCUUGACUGCUAGUGUUAAACUGGAUGUACAAAGGAAAGGUUCCCUCCACAUAUCAUUCUACUGAUGCCACUUGGAGUAAGUGGAUUGUGUUGGUUACACAAAAAGUGUCAGUCAUCCAGGAAUCUUAGAAGUGAUCAUGGACUGGCCUGAAGGUAAAAAGUUUGGAACAUCACCAGCAGAAGAGGUAUCACAUGCUAAAGAGGCCCCACCAUACAAUGAAUUACCAGAAAAUGAAAAGAAAUAUGCUCUGUUCACAGUUGGAUUGUGUCGUACCGUGGGGAAGCAUUGCAGAUGGAAAGCUGCUGUGUGGAGCCCCACAUGACAAGUUGCAGAGGUCACUGAAGGAAAAGGAGAAUCAAGCCAAUUUGCAGAGGUAAAGGUCAUCCAGCUGGCCUUAGAUGUUGCUGAAUGGGAGACAUGGCCAAUGCUUUAUCUUUAUACUGACUCAUGGAUAGUGGCAAAUGCCUGAUGGGAGUUGGUUACAGCAGUGGGAACAAAAUAACAUGCAACAAAGGGAUAAAUCUAUUUGGGCUGCUGAACUGUGGAAAGACAUUGCUGCCUGAAUAGAGAAUAUGGUUGCCAAGGUGUGUCACGUAGAUGCUCGUGUGACCAAGAGUUGGGUCUUUCCAGCUUCUGGAAGGGGCAAACAUCUUUGUGGAACAGUUUUUGCUCAGGGACCUGAGCACCCACUUGGCGGGUGAUGCAGAAAAAUGGGAAUGUUCAAUGUGUACCAGAAGGGAAUUUUAUGCUGUGGGAGUGCAGUCACUAAUUCCAUGUAUAUAUACCUAUAUAUAUAUGUAUGUUUGUU